GAGCAUAGCUCAGCUGGGAGAGCAUCUGCCUUACAAGCAGAGGGUCAUAGGUUCGAGUCCUAUUGUUCCC
rnacentral:tRNA from 4 species